CCUAAGAUAAAUAAACAUAAUAAUAUAUUUUUCAAGAAACUGGGUAGCAAGUACAUGCAGAUGAUAACCUUCGCUUUGAAAGCCUAACAACCACUUCACAGAACAGAAUGCCGUUGAAUCUGUCAGCCCGGUAUUUAGCUUUAUCUAACUUCCAGAGACCCUCAAUCUCCAUCAGUAGUUUUACAUCAAAACAGAGUAAGAUAUGACAAAAUGAAUCCCUAAUGGUUUUCAGGACAGAUGCAUGGAAAAAAAUGUUAUAGCACAUAUAGUCAUAGUAAGGAAUACAAUUAUUCUACUUACAGUCCUUCUCAUAGUGAAUUUCUUAUUUAUAAGUUCCCUGAGAAGUUUGUGAGCAGCAUUUUGUAUCAAGUAAUACUAUGGCUAAGGCAAAACCUCAGACUUAUUAUUCCUGUUUCAUCUGUGAGGACUAAGCAUUAUCUUCACACCUAAGCUAGAUAUUUGAACAGAAGAAUAUAAGAGUAUAUGUAGUAAUGAAACUAGCCUAAGUUUUUUCCUUACUUUGUUCAAGAAACAUACAAAUUUUUCUGAUACAUGCUUUGAAUCAGACAGCUAGAUGAACUGGAGAUGACUGUGUAAAUUCUCAUGCACACACAGUAAUCACUUCAGUCUUACAAAGUUACUUUUAUUUAUUAAUUGCAUUUUCAAUAGUUAUUCAAUCAAUAAGAUUUAUUAAAAAUAAAAAUUCUGCUUUCCAUAAAAUAAAGCAAUAGUUAAGUCACUUUUUUCACCUCAUUUUCUGAAAUGAUGUAGAAGCAACAGCACGCUUAGGUGAGAUAGAGUCAUCUUCAUUUUCAUGCAGACGCUUUCUCGUUGUGGCCGACUAAAAGAAAAAUGCAGCAGGAUGGCUACAUUAAUCAGUUUAUUUCCCCAUCCCUCCCGCAACACACACAGAGCUACUGAAGGAGUUACAAAAAUAGAAAAACAACUAUAAAAGUUUAUACUCUGGUGCUACAAACAAACUGGGAGAUGCAUUGUAGUAGUUACAUACCACAAUUGCUGAAACCUUUUCCAAGUGCAAAGAGUCGACCCCAAGGCUGAGGAACAAGCUCUUCAGGUUCCUGAUCCUCAGGAAUUGAUGGAAGCUCUUGAGUGGGAACGGUGUCCAAAGAACUGAGGGUCCCAGAACUUGAGGAUGACUGGCUAGCACUCUGUGAUGCACUAGAAGAGGAACUGGUACCACUCUGUGACUGUUGGGCACCUUGAGACUGCUGCACUUCAUUUCCAGUCUCUCGAGACAUGUUGGCUUCAAAGAGAACAUUUAAAAACCACUUACUACAGCAAAGUAAUAUUGACAAACUUUCAUAUACAGUCCCAUUAUCAUACAAAUCUAUUUCCAGUCUUCAAAUAAGACUCUCAACCAAAGCUUGCAUGUGUGUUUGCAUAUAUUUAAAUAUCCCCCAAAAUGUGUAAUGACUUUUUGUUUUAAAAAAGUAUGUAGUGCUCCCUCUACCGGUUCUAAAGCAAGUUAAAUCUUAUUCCCAGAUUUUCA